rnacentral:rRNA from 1 species
UACGAAGGGGGCUAGCGUUGCUCGGAAUCACUGGGCGUAAAGCGCACGUAGGCGGACUCUUAAGUCAGCUGUGAAAACCACGGGCUUAACUCGUGGCCUGCAGUUGAGACUGUCUGGCUUGAGUGUGGGAGAGGAGAGUGGAAUUCCUGGUGUAGCGGUGAAAUGCGUAGAUAUCAGGAGGAACACCGGUGGCGAAGGCGGCUCUCUGGACCACAACUGACGCUGAGGCGCGAAAGCUAGGGGAGCAAACAGG